AUUAUUUCUGACAUUUUUAUGCUUUAUGUUGUAGGUGGUGAAAAAUGCUCUCCAGGGUAAACCGGGUGGACAAAGUAUUUUGAAUGACUGUGAUGGUGACACAUACACAGGCUGGGAAAACCAGGCAUUCUUCCGUUGGUUCAUGUGCUUCGUCCUACAUCCAAAGGCCACAAGAAGAAUCCAAAACAGCUCAUGUCAAACUGUGGACCAUGUUUUCAGAUAUGUGCAGAUGCAAGCCAGUGUUGAAGCCUUCCUCAUUGCUGUGAAACCAGGACAGCCCUUCCUCCUGCAUGUUGGUGAAAACAAGAGCAGCACCAAAGACACUUCACCAUCAGUGAUCACAAGAUCAUCCAAGGUAGCUUUUGAUGAACUUCCAAAGCACACUUCACCUUCAGUGCAAAGUACCAUGGAUUCCUCUAC